UGCAGAGGGCUAUCUAUGCUGGGAC
rnacentral:piRNA from 1 species